rnacentral:rRNA from 1 species
GACGAACGCUGGCGGCGUGCCUAAUACAUGCAAGUUGAGCGCUGAAGGUUGGUACUUGUACCAACUGGAUGAGCAGCGAACGGGUGAGUAACGCGUGGGGAAUCUGCCUUUGAGCGGGGGACAACAUUUGGAAACGAAUGCUAAUACCGCAUAAAAACUUUAAACACAAGUUUUAAGUUUGAAAGAUGCAAUUGCAUCACUCAAAGAUGAUCCCGCGUUGUAUUAGCUAGUUGUGAGGUAAAGGCUCACCAAGGCGAUGAUACAUAGCCGACCUGAGAGGGUGAUCGGCCACAUUGGGACUGAGACACGGCCCAAACUCCUACGGGAGGCAGCAGUAGGGAAUCUUCGGCAAUGGACGAAAGUCUGACCGAGCAACGCCGCGUGAGUGAAGAAGGGUUUCGGAUCGUAAAACUCUGUUGGUAGAGAAGAACGUUGGUGAGAGUGGAAAGCUCAUCAAGUGACGGUAACUACCCAGAAAGGGACGGCUAACUACGUG